AUGUUAUGUGUGAAUUUGAGCCUGUCAUUAUGAUGCUAGCUGCUUAUUUUGCCUGUUAGUUGAUGCAGUUUCUUCAUGAUGUCGAUGGUCUUUACAAUUUGGUAUGUUUUUGCAGUGGCUGGUACUGGUUUUUUCCUUUCCAUACUUAGUACUUCCUUCAGGAGUUCUUGUGAGGCAGGCCUGGUGGUGACAAAAAUCCUUCAGCAUUUGCUUGUGUGUAAAGGAUUUUAUUUCUCCUUCACUUAUGAAGCUUAGUUUGGCUAGAUAUGAAAUGCUGGACUGAAAAUUCUUUUCUUUAAGAAUGUUGAAUGUUGGCCCCCACUCUCUUCUGGCUUGUACGGUUUCUGCAGAGAGAUCUGCUGUUAGUCUGAUGGGCUUCCUUUCUGGGUAACCAGACCUUUCUCUCUGGCUGCCCUUAACAUUAUUUCCUUCAUUUCAACCUUGGUGAAUCUAACGAUUAUGUACCUUGGGGUUGCUCUUCUUGAGGAUUAUCUUUGUGGUGUUCUCUGUGUUUCCUGAACUUGAAUGUUGGACUUUCUUGCUAGGUUGGGGAAGUUCUCCAGGAUAAUAUCCUGAAGAGUGUUUUCCAGCUUGGUUUCAUUCUCCCCAUCACUUUCAGGUACAACAAUCAAACAUAGGUUUGGUCUUUUCAUAUAGCCCUAUAUUUCUUGAAAGCUUUGUUCAUUCCUUUUCAUUCUUUUUUCUCUAAUCUUGUCUUCAUGCUUUAUUUCAUUAAGUUGAUCUUCAAUCUCUGAUAUCCUUUGUACCACUUGAUCAGUUUGGCUAUUGAUACUUGCGUAUGCUUCACAAAGUUCUCAUGCUGCGUUUUCACAAAAUUCUCAUGCUGUGUUUUUCAGCUCCAUCAGGUCAUUUAUGUUCUUCUCUAAACUGGUUAUUCUAGUUAGUAAUUCGUCUAAUUUUUUUCAAGUUUCUUAGCUUCCUUGCAUUGGGUUGGAACAUGCUCUUUUAGCUCAGAGGAGUUUGUUAUUACCCACCUUCUGAAGCCUACUUCUGUCCUUUCAUCAAAUUCAUUCUCCAUCCAGUUUUGUUCCCUUGUUGGCGAGUUGUGAUCCUUUAGAGGAGAAGAGGUGUUCUGGUUUUUGGAAUUUUCAGCCUUUUUGUGUUGGUUUUUCCUCAUCUUCAUGGAUUUACCUAUCUUUGGUCUUUGAUGUUGGUGACCUUCUGAUGGGGUUUUUGUGUGGACAUCCUUUCUGUUGAUGUUGAUGCUAUUCCUUUCUGCUUGUUAGUUUUCCUUUU
rnacentral:lncRNA from 1 species